AUGGCUCUUGACAGGAUUAAUGGUCCAUGGAAUGAGAGCUUUCGGUUCCUCUACACAUUUAAAUCUAAAGUCGAAGUUGCUAGUCCAAGGAGUGUUGUAGAGAUUGACAAGCAUACAUCUACAUACAAAAUAAAAGGGAAGUCAUUUCAGAAGGAGUACUUCAGGAGGGCUUUUGUUUGUUUCAAGGCUUGUUGGGAGGGGUUUCUUCAUGGUUCCAGACCCUAUUUGGCUCUUGAUGCAAAUGCUUUGAAUGGAAGGUGGAGAGGACAACUAGUGGCAGCUUCUACAGUUGAUGGACACAACUAG
rnacentral:rRNA from 1 species